rnacentral:rRNA from 1 species
AUUGAACGCUGGCGGCAGGCCUAACACAUGCAAGUCGAACGAGUGGCGGACGGGUGAGUAAUGUCUGGGAAUCUGCCUGAUAGAGGGGGAUAACUACUGGAAACGGUGGCUAAUACCGCAUACCAUCGGAUGUACCCAUAUGGGAUUAGCUAGUAGGUGGGGUAAAGGCUCACCUAGGCGACGAUCUCUAGCUGGUCUGAGAGGAUGACCAGCCACACUGGAACUGAGACACGGUCCAGACUCCUACGGGAGGCAGCAGUGGGGAAUAUUGCACAAUGGGCGCAAGCCUGAUGCAGCCAUGCCGCGUGUAUGAAGAAGGCCUUAGGGUUGUAAAGUACUUUCAGCGGGGAGGCGUUACCCGCAGAAGAAGCACCGGCUAACUCCGUGCCAGCAGCCGCGGUAAUAC